GCUUCAACAUUCAAGUUUUUUUUUUUUAAAGACAGACUCUACAUGCUACUGAUCUGGAGGUUAGUGGCUCAAUCAUUGUGCACUGAUUCUUCACUGAUGCCUUGAUUCCCCACUGUCAACUUUAUUGUCAUAAAGUUUAUCUAGUGAUCUACAUAUCAAGACUAAAUGGUCAAUUAAACAUGAGGUCAAGGAAAAAGGAUGAACAUUUCAAGGCUACUGAAGGAACAUUAAACGUCUCUCUCACUGUGAAAAGAUUCUACCGAUCUACAAAUGAUCAACAUGUUUUAUCUUAAGUUCGUCUGCCAUUUCUUCAAAUUGAGCCAUAUUAAGAAUAAGGUUCAAAUGUAUCAGUUGUUUUUGUUGACAGAUAUCAAGUAAUUUCAGUUCUCAAUUAUUUUGUGCACCAAGUUACAAGAAAAAAUUCAAGCAAGAGAGGUCAUUACACUAAGACUUUGUCUUCUCAUAAGAAAGGAUGGCUGCCUGGUCAUGUGAUAUGUGCACUGGACUGUGUAUGGUCAUCUUGAUGCUCAUAUCUUGCCUGAUGACAUUUAUUCUGCUGAACAUUUGGUCAAGGAAGUAGAUUCUCUUCAGCUCUCAAGAAACAUUCAAAACAUGUCAAACAUUCGACAAGAAUAUCAAGUGCAAUGUACAUACCAACAUGAUGAAAAGGUAGACAACAUGAAAAUGUAGACCAACAUGAUGAAGAUGUAGACCAACAUGAAGAUGUAGACCAACAUGAAGAUGAAAUGUAAACCAAAAAAAUGGGUCAAGAGAUGUAUGGAAUACAAUGUGAACAUCUUGAGAAGUAAAACAAUUCCUAGAGGCAAAGACACAGACACACCGGAUCUAUUAGAGAUUUUCCUUUUCUACCAUCAUUUAGAGACUUCCUUGUGCUCUAAGGGAACUAAUUGGCAUUGAUGUUUUUACAUUCCUACUGCGUCUGAAAGAAAUUAACAUUUCCCUAAUGCUACUUCAAAACCAGACCUUCUCAAGACAAUUUUAGUGACCAAGCUGCAAUAUGGGACUCAGUAGGAAACAAUGAAGAAUACUCCUAACCUCAGGUUGAGUAACCAUGCUCACCUACUAGAGUGGCGACAAAUACUUCUACACCCACAGUUAUACAUCCUGAACCCUGUAACCCAACCUCACAACAUGGUUACAUUACCGGAAGUGGUCGCAAGGUCGGAAAACCUAACAGAUACAAUGUAUAGAACAAUGAACAGGUACAAGUACUCAAGUGAUGUACUUUGUGAGAACUAUUUAGGUGGAAUCACCAUAAUUGACUUGUAUAAAUCUUGUUCUAUAUUUAGGUAUAUCUUGACAAUCAGUCCAGUCAUUUGUUCAUUUUUUUUUUAAAUAUUCCUUUUUUUUCCCUCAAUCUUCUUGUUGUUUCAGUUACAUGUUUUUGUAUUUUGAAGGAGGAAGGUGCUUUGGUAUAUUAUCGUUAUUAUUAUUGUACCAGUAUUAAGCAAACUUGUAUAUCUUUAAUUAUUCAUGAAUUCUAAAGCAGAACGUCACUUCCACCGGAAAAUGUUGUAACAACUAUACGUGUCUUCAGUUAACAUUCAAUACUCUGUACAGUCACAACGCCAAAGCCUUGCUAGAUUAUGCUUUUAAUUCAAUUUGUUAUCUCCCCUGCUUUAGUGUGCUAUCAUAUAAUUUUUUGUGUCACAUCCCUGCACAAUUUGUUCUAUGCUUUUUUACAGUAUAAAUAGCGACUUGACAUUAUUUAGCUCUAUUAUAAUAUUGUUAUAUUAUUAUAUUUCAAAUAAAACUGUUAACAUAUUCUAUGCUGUUAUAAUAUAAAUGUUUUGCUGUUACCAUGAAUACAGUUUUGAGUUUUUGUCUGAUUUCUUAGAGGAGAAAUUUUUCAUAAAUAAUAAUAAUAAGGCUUAUCUUCAAGUCCGAAGAUUAGUGAGAAGUAUGCAGUAUUCCCCAGCUAGGACCUACAUAUUUUGCUAUAAAUAAAGAGUAUAAUAAUAUUUACUACUUGGUAUUGUCAGUCUUCACUAAAGCAAUGAGUUUAUCCCCUUAGUGUGUUUAAAAUUUUCAAAUACUAAUUCACUUUGUAUUAUCUAUUGGUGAUCAUGGGGUAUCCACUUUGUCAUCUCCAUAGUCUCUGGUGUUAACACUUAGUGUCCUGUUGGAGGUUACGGCUAAGAUGUUAUCUCUCUUUCUGAUGGAACACAUGUAAAACCAACAAAACAAACAUUAGACCUAGACUUUAUUAACAGGUAAAUUUUUAUAAUUGUGAACUGGCGCUCCCAAAGCUACUUUUAUGUAUUUUAAAUUUUACUUCUGUAGGCUAGUGCUAAGCUGUAUACUUGUAUUUCUGCCUAUUAUAUGGGUUAGGGUGGAGUACUUAAAAUAGAGCCUAUGCUGUUUCCUGUACUGUUGACCAGUGGUCUCUGUCAGUUUUAAUUAUUCUGUACCUGGGACUGCCUGUAAGUUUCAGAAUUUUUCUUUUAUUUUUUUAAAUUUUACUAUGUGUAAAUCUGUUUUAUAUUUGAACAACUGUCAAAAUAACUAGCAGUUUUUUUUUUCUAAAGUUUGUUUUAAAACUAUGGCCAAGCCCUGCCCAGUGCUGUCAUGAUGGCCACUUCUAAUGUUUAUGUACUAGAUUGUAACUGCUGCCUUAGUCAUUGAAAUUAAAGUCUCAUUUUUGAAUUUC